rnacentral:rRNA from 1 species
AUUGAACGCUGGCGGCAGGCCUAACACAUGCAAGUCGAACGAGUGGCGGACGGGUGAGUAAUGUCUGGGAAUCUGCCCGAUGGAGGGGGAUAACUACUGGAAACGGUAGCUAAUACCGCAUACCAUCGGAUGUGCCCAGAUGGGAUUAGCUAGUAGGUGGGGUAACGGCUCACCUAGGCGACGAUCCCUAGCUGGUCUGAGAGGAUGAGCAGCCACACUGGAACUGAGACACGGUCCAGACGCCUACGGGAGGCAGCAGUGGGGAAUAUUGCACAAUGGGCGCAAGCCUGAUGCAGCCAUGCCGCGUGUAUGAAGAAGGCCUUCGGGUUGUAAAGUACUUUCAGCGAGGAGGCGUUACUCGCAGAAGAAGCACCGGCUAACUCCGUGCCAGCCGCCGCGGUAAUAC